CCUACGGGGGGCUGCAGUGAGGAAUUUUCGGCAAUGGGGGAAACCCUGACCGAGCCAUGCCGCGUGCAGGAUUAAGGCCCUAAGGGUUGUAAACUGCUGUGGUAGUCUACUAAUUUUGAAGAAACUACUAGAAAGAAGUUGCUAACUCUGUGCCAGCAGCAGCGGUAAUACAGAGACUUCAAGCGUUAUCCGGUUUCACUGGGCGUAAAGCGUUCCGAAGGCUGCUAUGUGUGUCUGGGGUGAAAGACCGGAGCUUAACUCCGUGUUUGCCUUGG
rnacentral:rRNA from 1 species